AGUGAACGCUGGCGGUAGGCCUAACACAUGCCAGUCGAACGGCAGCACAGUAAGAGCUUGCUCUUACGGGUGGCGAGUGGCGGACGGGUGAGGAAUACAUCGGAAUCUACUUUUUCGUGGGGGAUGACGUAGGGAAACUUACGCUAAUACCGCAUACGACCUACGGGUGAAAGCAGGGGAUCUUCGGACCUUGCGCGAUUGAAUGAGCCGAUGUCGGAUUAGCUAGUUGGCGGGGUAAAGGCCCACCAAGGCGGCGAUCCGUAGCUGGUCUGAGAGGAUGAUCAGCCACACUGGAACUGAGACACGGUCCAGACUCCUACGGGAGGCAGCAGUGGGGAAUAUUGGACAAUGGGCGCAAGCCUGAUCCAGCCAUACCGCGUGGGUGAAGAAGGCCUUCGGGUUGUAAAGCCCUUUUGUUGGGAAAGAAAAGCAGCAGGUUAAUACCCCGCUGUUCUGACGGUACCCAAAGAAUAAGCACCGGCUAACUUCGUG
rnacentral:rRNA from 1 species